rnacentral:tRNA from 1 species
AGUGAUGUAGCUCAGUGGUAGAGUGUAUGGCUAUCAUUCAUAAGGCACUGGCUCAAUCCCCAGCAUUACAA